GUACAAUGGGUAGUAUGCAUUUUUUUUUUACUUAUCUUUUUUGUGAAUAGAUCAUCUCCUCUAAGAGAAGGCUCGUGCCUUUUUUUACCCAUCUCUCCUCCACACGGCCUUAACGGGUCGGUUCCGGGUGGUUGAUCCACUUCCGAGCUUGCGAGCAUGGUGGGCUUGUAGCCCUCCAAAGCUGCUUCGACAAACCAAUCAACUGGUGAAUUCAACGGGCGAAUCAUCGAUCUAGAAACAGAUUGUGUUUCCUGUAGUAGCUCCAAACGCAUCAGAAUCUAUAUGGAUUCUGUCCGGAUCAAUAUAACCGUCAGGGACGAUCAACGUAUCACCCGCUACUGUAGACACAGGGCGUGGUGUGAUAAUGGUAAACUGGGCGUUUCAGGUGUCUCCAGCGAAGGAAACCGCUUGAUUGUCUGCUGAAGAACAUCUGUCACGACGAGAAAGAGAAGUGGCCACAACGGAUCCCUGCGUGAGUCCUCUUUUACUGUCAAUUUAGUCUCCUGGAGCCCCAUUCAAAAUAACCGCUGUUUUUGC
rnacentral:lncRNA from 1 species